GGGGAUGACGGUUUUUGACAGGACUUUGACAACUUUCCAUAUGCAAGACGAGCAAGCCUAGUAGCCUCGUAAAACCUUUUGGGCAUCAAAAAUGCUACUGCAUUUUCUAAAGUGAAGGCUGCGUUCGCUAACGCGUUCGCUCCUGCACUUGCCCUCGCUUAAUUUUAAGCUAGAGCGCCGCCCCAUCUUUCGCCUUAAGGAUGGAUCAGCGGCUUCAUUUUAGGCUGCAAUCCCGGUAGUUGAUCUGCCUGCCGGGCCCAAGAAUUCGCAGGUCAACCUUGAUGAUAUCUCGCCCGCUCCUGUCAUCAAGGAUUAUGAGCUGGCUAAUCUUGUGAACAAUGGGAAGGUGAACGGGUCCUGGACGCGGGUUAAACUCCCGCCAUCUCCACCA
rnacentral:tmRNA from 1 species